rnacentral:rRNA from 1 species
GUAGCUGGUCUGAGAGGAUGAMCAGCCACACUGGGACUGAGACACGGUCCAGACUCCUACGGGAGGCAGCAGUGGGGAAUAUUGGACAAUGGGGGCAACCCUGAUCCAGCAAUGCCGCGUGUGUGAAGAAGGCCUGAGGGUUGUAAAGCACUUUCAGUGGGGAGGAGGAUUACUAGGUUAAGAGCCAGGUGAUUGGACGUUACCCACAGAAGAAGCACCGGCUAACUCCGUGCCAGCAGCCGCGGUAAUACGGAGGGUGCGAGCGUUAAUCGGAAUGACUGGGCGUAAAGGGUGCGUAGGUGGUUUUUUAAGUUAUGGGUGAAAUCACUGGGCUCAACCUGGUGUUGAAUCAUAAUACUGAGAGACUCGAGUAUAG